CCUACGGGUGGCAGCAGUCGAGAAUCAUUCACAAUGGGGGAAACCCUGAUGGUGCGACGCCGCGUGGGGGAAUGAAGGUCUUCGGAUUGUAAACCCCUGUCAUGUGGGCGCAAAUUAAAAAGAUAGUACCACAAGAGGACGCGACGGCUAACUCUGUGCCAGCAGCAGCGGUAAUACAGAGGUCUCAAGCGUUGUUCGGAAUCACUGGGCGUAAAGCGUGCGUAGGCUGUUUCGUAAGUCGUGUGUGAAAGGCGCGGGCUCAACCCGCGGACGGCAUAUGAUACUGCGAGACUAGAGUAGUGGAGGGGGAACCGGAAUUCUCGGUGUAGCAGUGAAAUGCGUAGAUAUAGAGAGGAACACUCGUGGCGAAGGCGGGUUCCUGGACAUUAACUGACGCUGAGGCACGAAGGCCAGGGGAGCGAAAGGGAUUAGAUACCCUUGUAGUC
rnacentral:rRNA from 1 species